AAUAAAAAAAAAUAAAUAAAACAAAAAGUUUCAUAGCAAUGAAGAGAGUAUUCUUCAAUUUCUUUCCACUGUUUAGUCCAUUUGCAACAAUUCUAUAUAAUUAGGUCUAAAUAGGGGUUUAGGAUGACAGAGAGAGAGGGCACUGGUAUUCCCAAUCCUACCAUGGAAAUAACUGAGUUUUUAAUCCCUCACUCCAGUUAGUGGAGGAUUUAUUGAGCUAGAAAAAAGAAAAAAAAUUGAUUCUAGAAGCUAAAUAAGGGCAUACUAUGAGUAAUCACAAAAACAGUGUUCUGAUAUAAAAGUUAAAACGCACGAGGACGGAUGUCUGGAGAUGUUGCCAACAAUCUAUCAUGCGAAGUUCUAGACUUGAGCAAUAGCAGAAAUGAAAAAUAUGGUUGAAACUUAUAUUUUCAGAACCCAACAAGAGAUAAGUAGAUCACCAUAAAUAAUCCUCUGUAUAGUUAAUGCUAAGCAGAUAAUAAAAAGGGUAGGCAAAUGAA
rnacentral:misc_RNA from 1 species